GUUUAGUUGAGGAAAAGAUGUAACUUGAGGUCUGCUCAAGAGUUAGGUUGACCGACUUGUCUCUGACCAUCAUCCUAGGAGGAUGAGUGAAGAUUUUGUGAAUUUUUCAUAAAUCGCUUGAUCAUCGAUUUAUGAAAAAUUCUUCCGCUACGGUAGAGUUGUGUUACGUUUAAGUUUGUUUUGAGAUUAUAUUAAUUAGAGAAUCAACAUGUGAACACAAUGAAUAAGCAGAAAACUAUAUUAAGCUGAAUCCGCCACGCACGCCAACAUCAUUUCUCGAAAAUCGAGCACUAACGACCAAUUCAAAUAGCUGUCAACAUAAAGGCCUUUCGCAAAGCGACGACGCAAAAACAAGCGCCGCCGGACGGCGAGUUGGAACGCACACACAGGCGAAACCGACAACAGCAGAGCUCGAUCGUUCUUUUGUGAUCCCGUCAGAACCAAUCGUCUCCGUCCGUUCGAUCGCGUUGGACGCGACCACGCGAGUGAAAAUCUGCAGCUCGAAUUCAGCAACCAAAUUUUCUUCUAGCGGAGAAAACAGCAAGAUAUCCAUCAAAUCUUGUGCUGCGCAGGACGACGGGACGAGUUGGCUGUGUUUGCCUAUUUACGGCACGUGUUGCUUAACCUCCAAAAACGUUGGCCGCACCGAAAUCCAACCUACCGAUCGGUUGGCAGAUAAGAUCGACCACCACACAUCUGAGAGCAUCGGAUCCGACAAUUCCAUCCGAAACAACGCUGGAAGCACCGCUUGGGGUGAAGGCGCACAAGAGCGACGCCAUAUUGUCGGGCAGUGCAUUUGCGCGGGACCAGAGGCCUUCCGUAGGAAGUGAGUAGGAAGAACCAUCCUGAAAUCAAGAAUUGGCUAACCCUCUGGUGGCCGCAGGGCCUUUGUUUACACCUUUAUUUCCAGUUUCGCUUCGCGAGACGGAAGCAGCAUCGUGCAGCUCCAGCGGUGGACAAUUCGGAGAGAUCAGGUGGUGAGCAAGCCUGUGGACCCGAAGAGGUCCAAUUACGGUGUGUUCGCAUCAGGUGACUUGACGGCUUGACGACCGAAAUUGCGGAGGAGACGGCACGGGCAUUCCCGAUUACGGUUUCGACAUCGAGGCCGAGUGGACGACACGAAAAUUCCCACUACGGUUGUGGAUUCGGCCGGUUUCGCUCGACAGGAACAAGAUCCGAGGAUAAACAGCGGAGGCCAGCGGUGAAUAGGGUAGCUCCAACAGAUUCCAUCCACGGAGUUGCCCGGGUCCGCUAAACGAGCUGCGAUCAGGGUGAGUGGACGUCACCUACGUACUCACUCCGGUCCGACAUCGACUGAGCGCUCUCGACGGUACGACGUGGCACGGUGAGAAGCACCGCUGGGCCAAAUUCCCGACGGUUCGAGGACGUGUACGAACAGCGAUGAUGGGUCAGCGGAUGACCAGUGCGUUGGCGGCGGAGCGGCAUGGGGGACGCCCCAAGAAGAUAAGUGCUAGCAUUUAAGAUCAUAUUUGGCGAUUGCCAACUCCAAAUGUUUAGCUAGUAAGCCAAUAAGCUAGAGAGGAAGAUGGGUAGACCCAAAUAUAUGUAUUGAUCUGCGAUUUGAUGUUUUUGUGGUUUGCGUUGAGCCUUUGCCCUUCAGUGUUUGCGGUUUUUGUUCUUUAAGCCUCGCUAACGGUAUUUUGCUCUAUCCGCUACCGGGGAACUUGCAACA